AUUGAACGCUGGCGGCAGGCCUAACACAUGCAAGUCGAGCGAGCGGGGGACAGGUGUGUGAAGUAUGGGGGAUCCACGCUAGAGGGGGGUAACUACAGGAAAAGGUGGCUAAUACCGCAUACUGUCUGCUAACCCAUAUGGGAUUAGCUAGUAGGUAAGGUAAUGGCUUACCUAGGCGACGAUCCCUAGCUGGUCUGAGAGGAUGAUCAGCCACACUGGGACUGAGACACGGCCCAGACGCCUACGGAGGCAGCAGUGGGGAAUAUUGCACAAUGGGCGCAAGCCUGAUGCAGCCAUGCCGCGUGUAUGAAGAAGGCCCUAGGGUUGUAAAGUACUUUCAGUCGGGAGGCGUUACCGACAGAAGAAGCACCGGCUAACUCCGUGCCAGCCGCCGCGGUAAUAC
rnacentral:rRNA from 1 species